CGGAUGAAAUUGGACACAAACUCCUUCUCUGAAACACCAGGAAUAUAGAUGCAGCUUGUGUUCCAAAUAUUGUGGCUUGCAACUCAAAUAGGUACAACAUUACCAGGUAGUAAUAUUAAUAUAAUGGAUAUGUCAGGGUCUUCUGUGUGCAUGGAAAGGCUACUCCCCAUUUUCUUUCGAUGGCAGAGAAAGGUCAACACAAGCCUAUUUCAUAGGAAGAACACUCCCAGAAAUAGGAGAAGAUGGUAUGGGCAUAUCUGUGUGUGCACCACAGACUAAACAUGCUUUGUGAAUAAAGUCUUGUAAAUAUCCAAGAUCUUAAUCUUAA